CCUGAGAAACCCAAAAGAUCGAAUGGGGAGAUUCAUCGUCAGCUCAUUUUGUAUAUGUAUAAGUUAUGAUGCGGGUUACUACUUGUAGUAUUGCCUGCACAUUCUUGUAUAUUUAGUUGCAAGAUGUUGUCGGCGUGCACUUCUCCCCUAGUAGGACUGCGCGACCCGUUGGGUGUCGGUCUACGGCCCAAGAUAGACUUUAAUGUAAUUUAAAAAACAUUAAAGAUCCUUUGGUGUUUUCUGACCGACUACUUGGCGGUACUUCGCACGGUAUGUCCAUACCCGUCGCAAGCGAGGCUAAUUUCUAGAUAGUACGGACCUAGUGCCGUCGCUGGUAUUGGCCAGCUGUUGGUUGACGGUGUUCUAGGACUGGCUGUAUUACCGGUCGGCGAUGCUACUGCUUUGGGUACUUUCAGGACCCGUCUUGAAACACGGA
rnacentral:rRNA from 1 species